CUUUCACAGGGAUGGUGUCAGUGAAGGCCAGGUCUACCAAGUUCUACUUACCGAGCUCGACGCCAUCCGAAAGGCUUGCGCGUCGCUACCAAAGCGCCACCACACCAUGUUGUUCGUGCACAACCCCAACGAUCAACUGCAGCGGCAACAUCCUUCCAGAUGGGAGCGGUGGCCUUAUCGAGCACAUCUUGCAGCAGCAGCAGCGCUAGGAGGUGCAGCAGGUUGAGAUCGGCAUCCGCCCAUCCACGGAUCAUCUGGGUACAGAGCAGGUCGGGGGAGCCUGCUAACGUGCAUUUUGUAGCAUCUGGAAACCUCAAAGCCUGUCGUCUUGCUUUCAUUGAAAAUUCUCCAUGCUUGAAAUAUUCACUUUAGGUUGGUAUGUUGCCAUUACUUGCUGGCAACCGAGCAAACAAUAAUUAGCUCUUCUGUUUUUCGUUGAUUUAAUAUCAUGCAUACUUGAUGCGUAGAUGCCUUGCUGUGACUUAUUUCUAUUCAAUUCCUUUUGUCCAAUUUAUUGGAAAAUUGUCAUGUAAAAUUGUUGGUGCCGAUGUUUCAGAGUUUACGUUGUGUGACCUAUUCAUUCAUUCAAAUAGAACGGCUGCCCUUUUCUUUUAUUGGUUACAAUUUAAUUUCCUUUGCCAUUAUUUUGUGUUUUGAAUUGCUGAAUACUAGUAGCACUACAGUUAUAGGCAGCAUUAGCACUACAUGUACCAAUUUGUAGGUAUUGCAACUACUAUGACAAGUUUUCAUUCUUCACAAAUUAUUUUUCCUUCCAAGAUUGUAAUUCAGCUAUUCACCAUAUUGAUUUUUAUCCCAAGUUUUGUUUAAACAUCUUAUUGCUGCCCUUUUCUGUUUGGAAUUUAACUUGUGUCUCUCCUCAGGUGAAGCUUGGUAACUAUUUUGGCUUCAAGAAUACCAAGCAUGGGAAACUUUUAAAAUGGCCUUUUUUUCGUCUCAGCGUGGCUGUAUUUGCAUAUAGCCUAGUUGUUAGAGGUUCUUAUGCUAGUACUUAUGGCAAGCCACUGUGAUUGACUGAUUUUGUGUCGUUGGUCUAGUUCCGUACUAUUUGUUAUGAACGCAAUUAGUUUCCACUUUGGUCUUGAUCAAGCCUUGCCUAGGUAGUUACUAGCUAGCAACUGAGCAAGAAGUAAUUUGGUCCCCUUUUUUCUCAUUGAUUUGAUACUAUGCAUACUUCAUGCGUACAUGCCUGGCAGUGAUCUUUCUUUUUUGUAUUCAAUU